rnacentral:rRNA from 1 species
GACGAACGCUGGCGGCGUGCUUAACACAUGCAAGUCGUACGGUAAGGCCCUUUCGGGGGUACACGAGUGGCGAACGGGUGAGUAACACGUGAGUAACCUGCCCACAACUUUGGGAUAACGCUAGGAAACUGGUGCUAAUACUGGAUAUGUGCUCCUGCUGCAUGGUGGGGGUUGGAAAGCUCCGGCGGUUGUGGAUGGACUCGCGGCCUAUCGGCUUGGUGGUGGGGUAGUGGCCUACCAAGGCGGCGACGGGUAGCCGGCCUGAGAGGGUGACCGGACACAGUGGGACUGAGAUACGGCCCAGACUCCUACGGGAGGCAGCAGUGGGGAAUAUUGCACAAUGGGCGCAAGCCUGAUGCAGCAACGCCGCGUGCGGGAUGACGGCCUUCGGGUUGUAAACCGCUUUCAGCAGGGACGAAGCUUUUUGUGACGGUACCUGAAGAAGAAGCACCGGCUAACUACGUG